UAGAGACGCYGCAAUGAUUAACAGGAACAGUCGGAGGACAUCAAGUAUUCAGUUGUCAGAGGUGAAAUUUUUGGAUUUACUGAAGACUAACUASUGCGAAAGCAUUUCCCAAGGAUGUUUUCAUUAAUCAGUGAAAAAAAGUUCGUCGAUCGAAGACGAUCAGACACCGUCGUAGUCUCAACCRUAAACUAUGCCGACUAGGGAUCGGGCGAUGUUCUUUUUCUGACUCGCUCGGCACCUUACGAGAAAUCAAAGUUUUUGGGUUCKGGGGGGAUUAUGCUCGCAAGGCUGAAACUUAAAGAAAUUGACGGAAGGUCACCACCAGGCGUGGAGCAUGCGGCUUAAUUUGACUCAACACGGGGAAACUCACCAGGUCCAGAUGAAAUAAGGAUUGACAGAUUGAGAGCUCUUUCUUGAUUUUUCAGGUGGUGGUGCAUGGCCGUUCUUAGUUCGUGGGGUGAAUUGUCUGCUUAAUUGCGAUAACGAGCGAGACCUUACUCUGCUAAAUAGCCAGGCUAACUUUGGUUGGUCGCCGGCUUCUUAGAGAGACUAUCAACUCAAGUUGAUGGAAGUUUGAGGCAAUAACAGGUYUGUGAUGCCCUUAGAUGUUCUGGGCCGCACGCGCGCUACACUGACAGAGCCAACGAGUUCUUUUCCUUGUUCGAAAGAAUUGGGUAAUCUUGUUAAACUCUGUCGUGCUGGGGAUAAAGCAUUGCAAUUAUUGCUUUUCAACGAGGAAUGCCUAGUAAGCGCGUGUCAUCAGCAUGCGUUGAUUACGUCCCUGACCUUUGUACACACCGCCCGUCGCUACUACCGAUUGAAUGGCUCAGUGAGGCCUUCGGACUGGCUCGAGGAGGUGGCAACGACCACCUCA
rnacentral:rRNA from 1 species